UCUGGCGGCAGCAGCGCGGUGGUCCCACCUGACCCCAUGCCGAACUCAGAAGUGAAACGCCGUAGCGCCGAUGGUAGUGUGGGGUCUCCCCAUGCGAGAGUAGGGAACUGCCAGAC
rnacentral:rRNA from 1 species